rnacentral:rRNA from 1 species
CCUACGGGAGGCAGCAGUGAGGAAUAUUGGUCAAUGGGCGGAAGCCUGAACCAGCCAAGUCGCGUGAGGGAAUAAGGCCCUACGGGUCGUAAACCUCUUUUGCCGGGGAGCAAGGGCGGGGACGUGUCCCGGCCCGGAGAGUACCCGGAGAAAAAGCAUCGGCUAACUCCGUGCCAGCAGCCGCGGUAAUACGGAGGAUGCGAGCGGUAUCCGGAUUUAGUGGGUUUAACGGGUGCGGAGGCGGGCUGUUAAGUCAGCGGUAAAAAGUCGGGGCUCAACCCCGUCCGGCCGUUGAAACUGGGGGCCUUGAGUGGGCGAGAAGAAGGCGGAAUGCGUGGUGUAGCGGUGAAAUGCAUAGAUAUCACGCAGAACCCCGAUUGCGAAGGCAGCCUGCCGGCGCCCUACUGACGCUGAGGCACGAAAGUGCGGGGAUCGAACAGGAUUAGAUACCCCAGUAGUC